AGCGAACGUUUGCGGCGGGCCUAACACAUGCAAGUCGAACGCACUAGCAAUAGUGAGUGGCGCACGGGUGCGUAACACGUGGGUAAUCAACCCUUCAGCCUGGGAUAACGACUCGAAAGGGUCGCUAAUACCGGAUACGGCGCGAGAGGCUUCGGCUUCUCACGAGAAAGCCACGCAAGGGGCACUGAAGGACGAGCCUGCGGCCCAUCAGCUAGUUGGUGAGGUAAGAGCUCACCAAGGCUAAGACGGGUAGCUGGUCUGAGAGGAUGAUCAGCCACACUGGAACUGAGACACGGUCCAGACUCCUACGGGAGGCAGCAGUGGGGAAUAUUGCGCAAUGGGCGAAAGCCUGACGCAGCCACGCCGCAUGAGCGAUGAAGGCC
rnacentral:rRNA from 1 species